AAAAAUGACGGGAAAAUGGGAUAAAAAUGAGGGGAAAAAUGGGUUUAAAAUGGGAAAAAAUAGAGGAAAAAUGGGAUAAAAAUGACGGGAAAAAUGGGAUUAAAAUGGGGUAAAAAGGGGAUUUAAAGGGGGAAAAAAGAGGAUAAGCUGGGGAAACAUUAAACACUUGGAAAAGCAGGAAUUCCAUGGAAAAAUGGGAAUUUUUUCAGGUUUGCCAAGCUGCUGCUGCGGCUGCCGGCGCUGCGCUCCAUCGGCCUGAAGUGCCUGGAGCAUCUUUUCUUCUUCAAACUCAUCGGGGACACCCCCAUCGACACCUUCCUGAUGGAGAUGCUGGAGGCGCCCCACCAGCUCUCCUGAGCCCCCCAAAAACAGCCCCAAAUAGCUGUGAAACAGCGCCCAAAUACCGGGAAAAUAUCCCCAAAAUAUCGGGAAAAUAUCCCCAAAAUAUCCCCAAAAUAUCGGGAAAAUAUCCCCAAAAUAUCCCCAAAAUAUCUGUAAAAUAUCGCCCAAAUAUCGGGAAAAAAUCCCCAAAAUAUCCCCCAAAUAUCGGGAAAAUAUCCCCAAAAUAUCUCCAAAAUAUCCCCAAAAUAUCCCCAAAAUAGCUGUAAAAUAUCGCCCAAAUAUCGGGAAAAAAUCCCCAAAAUAUCCCCAAAAUAGCUGUGAAAUAGCACCCAAAUACCGGGAAAAUAUCCCCAAAAUAUCUCCAAAAUAGCUGUAAAAUACCACCGAAAUAUUGGGAAAAAAUCCCCAAAAUAUCUCCAAAAUUGCUGUAAAAUAUCACCGAAAUAUCGGGAAAAAAAUCCCCAAAAUAUCCCCAAAUAUCGGGAAAAUAUCCCCAAAAUAUCUGGAAAAAAUCCCCAAAAUAUCUCCAAAAUAUCUGUAAAAAAUCCCCAAAAUAUCUCCAAAAUAUCCCCCAAAUAUCGGGAAAAUAUCCCCAAAAUAUCUGGAAAAAAUCCCCAAAAUAUCUGUAAAAUAUCACCAAAAUAUCUGGAAAAAAUCCCCAGAAUAUCCCCAAAAUAUCUGUAAAAUAUCACCGAAAUAUCGGGAAAUAUUCUCCAAAAUAUCUCCAAAAUUGCUGUAAAAUAUCACCCAAAUAUCGGGAAAAUAUCCCCAAAAUAUCUGUAAAAUAUCACCAAAAUAUCUGGAAAAAAUCCCCAAAAUAUCUGUAAAAUAUCACCGAAAUAUCGGGAAAAAAUCCCCAAAAUAUCCCCCAAAAUAUCCCCCAAAUAUCGGGAAAAUAUCCCCAAAAUAUCUGGAAAAAAUCCCCAAAAUAUCU
rnacentral:lncRNA from 1 species